UACAGAGGUCCCAAGCGUUGUUCGGAUUCAUCGGGCGUAAAGGGUGUGUAGGUGGCGCCGUAAGUCGGGUGUGAAAUUUCGGAGCUUAACUCCGAACCUGCAUUCGAUACUGCGGUGCUUGAGGACUGGAGAGGAGACUGGAAUUCAUGGUGUAGCAGUGAAAUGCGUAGAGAUCAUGAGGAAGACCAGUGGCGAAGGCGGGUCUCUGGACAGUUCCUGACACUGAGACACGAAGGCCAGGGGAGCAAACGGG
rnacentral:rRNA from 1 species